rnacentral:tRNA from 1 species
CGACUCAUAAUCGCCAGGUCGCUGGUUCAAAUCCAGCAAGGGCCACCA